rnacentral:rRNA from 1 species
GGAUGAACGCUGGCGGCGUGCCUAAUACAUGCAAGUCGAGCGAACAGACGAGGAGCUUGCUCCUCUGACGUUAGCGGCGGACGGGUGAGUAACACGUGGAUAACCUACCUAUAAGACUGGGAUAACUUCGGGAAACCGGAGCUAAUACCGGAUAAUAUAUUGAACCGCAUGGUUCAAUAGUGAAAGACGGUUUUGCUGUCACUUAUAGAUGGAUCCGCGCCGCAUUAGCUAGUUGGUAAGGUAACGGCUUACCAAGGCAACGAUGCGUAGCCGACCUGAGAGGGUGAUCGGCCACACUGGAACUGAGACACGGUCCAGACUCCUACGGGAGGCAGCAGUAGGGAAUCUUCCGCAAUGGGCGAAAGCCUGACGGAGCAACGCCGCGUGAGUGAUGAAGGUCUUCGGAUCGUAAAACUCUGUUAUUAGGGAAGAACAAAUGUGUAAGUAACUAUGCACGUCUUGACGGUACCUAAUCAGAAAGCCACGGCUAACUACGUGCCAGCAGCCGCGGUAAUACGUAGGUGGCAAGCGUUAUCCGGAAUUAUUGGGCGUAAAGCGCGCGUAGGCGGUUUUUUAAGUCUGAUGUGAAAGCCCACGGCUCAACCGUGGAGGGUCAUUGGAAACUGGAAAACUUGAGUGCAGAAGAGGAAAGUGGAAUUCCAUGUGUAGCGGUGAAAUGCGCAGAGAUAUGGAGGAACACCAGUGGCGAAGGCGACUUUCUGGUCUGUAACUGACGCUGAUGUGCGAAAGCGUGGGGAUCAAACAGGAUUAGAUACCCUGGUAGUCCACGCCGUAAACGAUGAGUGCUAAGUGUUAGGGGGUUUCCGCCCCUUAGUGCUGCAGCUAACGCAUUAAGCACUCCGCCUGGGGAGUACGACCGCAAGGUUGAAACUCAAAGGAAUUGACGGGGACCCGCACAAGCGGUGGAGCAUGUGGUUUAAUUC